GCUCCGGUGGCCCAGUGGUAACUCUCCCGCCUGCUGUGUGGGUGACCCGGGUUUGAAUCCCGCCAUCGGCGCC